rnacentral:rRNA from 1 species
UACGUAGGGUGCAAGCGUUGUCCGGAAUUAUUGGGCGUAAAGAGCUCGUAGGCGGUUUGUCGCGUCUGCUGUGAAAACGCGAGGCUCAACCUCGCGCCUGCAGUGGGUACGGGCAGACUAGAGUGCGGUAGGGGAGAUUGGAAUUCCUGGUGUAGCGGUGGAAUGCGUAGAUAUCUCUAAGAACACCAGUUGCGAAGGCGGCUGGCUGGGUCCACAUUGACGCUGAGGCUCGAAAGCGUGGGGAGCAAACAGG